ACCCGGGGUUAGGACUUCAACAUAUCUUCUUUUGGUUCAAUCCUUAGCAUCUUGCUUGAGGGUGACACAGGGAUCCCUGCCCCCCAAGAGAACACAACUUCUGGGAAGGGGUCUGCUAGACUCCCCUGCCGGCAAUGGGACCAAUGACACGCUCAAAGGACCGAACCAUCUGGACACACUUCCUACUGUCACAGCGGCCCACUGUGUCAGUGACAUCAUGCUAAUCUGAGUUGAAGGAACAAGAAGUGGCAAGUAUGUUGGAGGCCUCGUUAAGGCGCGUGAGCUCUGCAGGGCUCAGGAGGCCACCACACUGGCACCUGCUUAGGAGUUCAGUGGUCCAUAGCGUGCUGGGACGUCCUCUGUGAAGGAAAGAACAGAUUACUGCAUCCUGCACCUGCCAUCACCAAGGAGGAGGGAGUGCGAUACUUGGAGGCCUCUUGGGGUUCUGAAGCUCGCUGACUCCACAUGUGAGCAUCCUGAGUGACACGGAAGGGAAGGCUGCCGUCUUUGAUUGGGUCACAGAGCCGGAAAAGACCCUGUAGAAAUGCUAAGUAUGGUACGCGCGUCCCUUGGGACGUACACAGGGGCCGAGCUUCUGCCUGUGGUGUUAGAGGCAUUUAUGGUGGGAAAGAUGCUGUGUGGAGUUUAUGAUAAAGCCCAAUAGGAUCGUCACAAUGCAGACACUAAGGUUCCAGAGCAAGGCCCUGCGUCUACAGAGGAGAAUUGGAUCCACUUAUGCUACAGCUCCGGCUUGCUGCUGGCUCUGGAGGAGGCGGAGGGCCUAACUGCGAGACAUUAGGUGACCACACAGCCAGAAUCGACCGACAUGACCGGGAUUGUCCCUGACCCACCGCAUCAUAAUAGAGUCAUGCCCACCCAGCAGCCGUCCACCAGAACAGAGACACGGCACAGCUACAUCAGGAAUAGUCACAGCAAAAAGUCACAGCGGAGCCGCAGGAGCAGGAGUCUGCUGGACUUAACCUGAGAACACUUACGAGGGGGAAAGGUCUGUGGGACAAAGUAGAGCCCCACCUCUGGUUCCGGCCCUGAAGGCAGAGGUGAGAGGAAAUCUUCCCAAAGAGCAGAGCUUUAGAGAAGCUGUUCCCAAACUGGGGGAACUUACUAUCUGCCGCAGGUGGAUCUGGCCUCGAGGGCUGUAGGGGAUGCCAGGGUGUGUUGGUUACAGCCCCUCAGGACAGAGCUACUUACUACUUACUCCUCUAACUGCCAGAAGUGUUGCCUGCUGCCUGCCCAGAGCCACGACUCUCUCUAGAAAUUGCCUUCUGCCAAAGCAAGCUGCCUCACCCAGGAUAAUUCAUCCUCUCCAGGGCGGCACCCCUUGACUGGAAAAUGGGGGACAAUAGAUGUUGCCUCAGCUUGGGGCAUCUCCAAGCAACCGUCUGACUCUCAGAGCUUCCCACGUUGGUAGCUGAGCCUCUGUUACAGCUUCUCCCUGCACCCAGCUCUGUAUCUGGCUUCGCCGCAUGUGUUGCUGCACGUACAUUUCGGAGUCUCCGAGUCUAUUACGGAACUCAACCUAACAUGUCAGAGAAAGGACAUUGAGUUUUAUGAACUCCGUUGACCCCACCUCCUCCACGCUCCAGGACCCCCGCGGAAGAACGUAGCGGCCUGGACUGCAGCCUCACCCCCGCGCAGCGCUGUGGGCAUGUUGGACACGGCCCUCCUGGACCCCUCGGCCUCCGGUCCUUCAGGCGCACGGGGGACUGGGGACAGGGCCAGCCCAUGGGAGGCCC